CCUACGGGUGGCAGCAGUGGGGAAUAUUGGACAAUGGGGGGAACCCUGAUCCAGCGACGCCGCGUGAGUGAAGAAGUAUUUCGGUAUGUAAAGCUCUAUCAGCAGGGAAGAAAGAAAUGACGGUACCUGACUAAGAAGCCCCGGCUAACUACGUGCCAGCAGCCGCGGUAAUACGUAGGGGGCAAGCGUUAUCCGGAUUUACUGGGUGUAAAGGGAGCGUAGACGGCGAUGCAAGUCUGAAGUGAAAGGCGGGGGCUCAACCCCCGGACUGCUUUGGAAACUGUAUGGCUGGAGUGCAGGAGAGGUAAGUGGAAUUCCUAGUGUAGCGGUGAAAUGCGUAGAUAGUAGGAGGAACACCAGUGGCGAAGGCGGCUUACUGGACUGUAACUGACGUUGAGGCUCGAAAGCGUGGGGAGCAAACAGGAUUAGAUACCCCAGUAGUC
rnacentral:rRNA from 1 species